UACGUAGGGUGCGAGCGUUAAUCGGAAUUACUGGGCGUAAAGCGUGCGCAGGCGGUCUUGCAAGACAGGUGUGAAAGUCCCCGGGCUUAACCCGUGGGAAUGCACUUGUGACUGCAAAGGCUGGAGUACGGCAGAGGGGGAUGGAAUUCCGCGGUGUAGCAGUGAAAUGCGUAGAUAUGCGGAGGAACACCGAUGGCGAAGGCAAUCCCCGUGGGCCUGUACUGACGCUCAUGCACGAAAGCGUGGGGAGCAAACAGG
rnacentral:rRNA from 1 species